UAUAUAAUUGACAGCACUGUCAAUUAUAUAGUACCAUUUGGUACUGAUAAAUUUUCAGAACAAAGUUUAUUUAUAUCUACUUCAUUGGACCCACAAGCUUUAUUUACUGUUGCUAAUUGUAUAUUUAUAUUUUAAAAUAACAAAUCAUUUAAACAUUUUGAAUUUUUUGAACGAAGUUAAGUUAUAUGAAAUUUUUUAGAAACUUUUAGGGACUGCUUAUUAGUGUUUUUUGAAUACUGAGGUAAAGGUAAGGUAGACCUAGUUUUCAACUUUUACUGUAAACUUAUACAAACUGAACUAAUUUUGCAACAUUCUUCAAUGAUUUUGUAUGUCUGAGAUAUAAAGUUUAUUUAUUUAUUUUUUUUCUAGGUUUUCUAGGUUUAUUACUGCAAUUUGAAUUGCAAAGCAACAAAGCUUGUGUGGAUGGCAAUAACUCUUAUCAGAAAAAAAAAAUUAAAAAGCUAAAUAUAAGACAAAUUUGUUGAUAAGCUCGCAACGUUGUUUUCAGACGAUAAAUAAAUCUAAAUUUUAUUUCGAAAAGAAGUAGAAUGCAACAUUCAAAAAGUGACUUUUAAGAUCAAGUCUGUAUAUCUGUCGAAAACCCAAUUAUAAAGUUAAAGCGAUGCUAUAGCCGAGCUCAUAUCUCAAUCUCUCUGAAUAUAUAUCUGUCAAAGAUCUUUCUACAAAUUUGGACAUUUUCUGUAUUUCUUUUUGUUAAGGCUUUACCUGAAUAUUUGCUGCCUAUUAUUUUUUUCAAAAAAAUAUCACUAAA